rnacentral:rRNA from 1 species
UACAGAGGUCUCAAGCGUUGUUCGGAUUCAUUGGGCGUAAAGGGUGCGUAGGCGGCUUGUCGCGUCGGCUGUGAAAACCUGGGGCUCAACCCCGGGCCUGCAGCCGAUACGGGCAAGCUAGAGUUCGGUAGGGGAGACUGGAAUUCCUGGUGUAGCGGUGAAAUGCGCAGAUAUCAGGAGGAACACCGGUGGCGAAGGCGGGUCUCUGGGCCGAUACUGACGCUGAGGAGCGAAAGCGUGGGGAGCGAACAGG